GCUGUCAGCCCAGAACCCGACGCAGGGCUCGAACUCAAAAACUGUGAGAUCAUGACCUGAGUGGAAGUCGGACGCCCAAACGCCCAACCGACUGAGCCACCCAGGUGCCCCGAGAAUAAUAACUUUUAUGUGCCUUACAAGUCUAAGAAUUAAAAUGAGGUUGGAAGGAGGGUAUUAGUUAUUUAUAUCUUUGAAAGUAUGACAUUUACGUGGGAAAGAGUUUGCUUAAAAUUGCCUUGCUGGUCGCCUCUUUAAACCACAUCAUCUAAUUUGUUCCGUAAGAUUGUUAAGAUGCUACAACACCUUAUAGCCUGAUAGAAUGUUUUGUUUUUGUUUUUUUAAGCGUCCACGGCAACAUUUCACAUGCAUUAUGAGUGAUAAGGAAUACUCUUUUUAAAACUUGCUGCUAAAACUUCAAUUUAGGAAUUUUUUUGAUGAGGGUUAAUAAUAAUGAUGCCAUUGGAAUAAAUCACUGAGUAGUUCCAGCAGUAGUAUAUGUGAGCUCCCAACUACAAAGUUCAAGGAUGCUUACAGCAAAUAAGAUUACAUCGUAGCAGAAAGUUUUACUUGAUUUUAAAAUUCUGGUGACAGAUUUUUAAGCCACUGAGAUAUUUCUGGAGGCUCCAUGAUACAGUCUUAAAUGUUCUGUGCCUCAGUUUGUAAGUUCAGCACCAGAAUUUGGACCAUUCAUAUCCUAAGGAUGAAAACAACAUGAGGAUAACGUAUCCAGAAGGCCCCAAACGCUACAUGUUUGUGACCUGGCCUUGAAAUGGGAUCGAGACACUUUCUUUGUAGUUCCUUAGCCUGUUUCCAUCGGCAUAGAUAUCCACUACAUUAGGACAGGUAACCUUGGCUACCGCGGCAGAACAAGCAGUGAGUUUUUCUCCUUGGGAGGGAAGAGUGAGUAGGCACAAGAGCCUGGGAAGGAGGGUAAAGAACAGAAGGUGCAGAGGCGCACCCCCCUCAAACCACCCCCCAGGAAAGAUACACGAGACGUGUGCCUGCCUUCCAAGCUUGGCCUAGGACGCAGGGACUGGUUUCCAACGAAUGGCUAACAAGCUAGAGCUGCAUCAACUAUUUGGACUUCAGAACCAAAAGUACUUUCCAACUGGAAAGUGUCCUGACUUUUCUCUUGCUCACCAACUUAUGAGAGUCAAAUCCAAAACCGUCUUUGCCUCCGGGUCUUGCUAAGUUGUCACAGAGAAGACUGCUGGCGGGUCCUUUCUAUACCCGUGUAUCUAACUCUAGCUGUUUUCUUUCAGGCCCGCAUCUCCUGCCACUCCCCACAUUUCAUCUGCCCCCUUCUAGUCCUACGUAACCACCAAGAUUAGAGUAGACAUUACAUUAUUUAGUAAUGGCCAUUUCACUCCUCUCCCUACCCGCGUUUAAGCUUCUUUCAGAAUGAAUUCCCGUCUUCCACAGAGCCUAACAGGUAUUAAAUACUAACCCGUUAGCUGACUCUCAAUGAAUGGUGUCCGCUUGUGAGACUGAAGUAUCACAGUUCUCUAAAGGCACUAAGACAGAGCAUUCCCUAAUCUCACAAAAUUCUUGAGACUGCUCCGUGUACCCUCAGAGUCCCUGCAGAUUGCACGAAAGCACAUAAAAUAAGGUGGGAUUCUGAAAGCUAUGAUCCAUGCCACCAUGUUGGAGCCUCAAGCACCAUGGUAUGAGGGAAGACAGAAAGCGCAUGAACUUAAAGUGUGAAAGCCCAACUUGAAGCAUUGUAGGUACUCACAAGAUACAUAGUAUGAUAUGUGACAUUCAGAAGCUGGGCCAGAGUUCUAAACGAGUCCUGCUAGAAGAUCUGCAUUGCUGGUCUUAUUUUUAAAUCCACACAGCAGUUAGUAAGAACUCAGUAAAACAAGGUGUGUUAAGUGGUCUUUAUUGGGGUGUCACAUUAGGUUAUCUUCUUCAUUAUCAGUUCUUCAGUUAAUUGUACAAGUAUGAUAAGUUAUUUUAUAUCUGACGUGGGAAUUUAAAUGUAAAAUAAAUACAAAAUACAUCUGUGGUUUAAUGAA